GUGUCAGCAGCCGCGGUAAUACAGAGGGUGCGAGCGUUAAUCGGAAUUACUGGGCGUAAAGCGCGCGUAGGCGGCUAUGCAAGUCGAGUGUGAAAUCCCCGGGCUCAACCUGGGAACUGCAUUCGAGACUGCAUUGCUUGAGUAUGGGAGAGGGAGGCGGAAUUUCAGGUGUAGCGGUGAAAUGCGUAGAUAUCUGAAGGAACAUCAGUGGCGAAAGCGGCCUCCUGGACCAAUACUGACGCUCAAGUGCGAAAGCGUGGGGAGCAAACAGGAUUAGAUACCCCAGUAGUCC
rnacentral:rRNA from 1 species